CCACUGACCAUGAGAACCCCGUCCACAACUCUUCCGACCACAUCAACAAUAUCCACACACACAUUGACCAAGAGAGCUAUCAUCACCUCCAUUAAUCACCACCUCCAGUAUCUCCUCCCCCUCUAUUACCACUUUCGUAUCCACCACCGAGAGCUCCAUCCACAACUCUUCCGGUCACAUCAACAACAUCAACACAACCACUGACUACGAGAUCCUCAUCCACAAUUCUUCCGACCAC
rnacentral:lncRNA from 1 species